AAUUUUGGACAAUGGGGGAAACCCUGAUCUAGCCAUCCCGCGUGUAUGAUGAAGGCCUUCGGGUUGUAACGUACUUUUGGCAGAGAAGAAAAGGUACCUCCUAAUACGAGGUACUGCUGACGGUAUCUGCAGAAUAAGCACCGGCUAACUACGUGCCAGCAGCCGCGGUAAUACGUAGGGUACAAGCGUUAAUUGGAAUUACUGGGCGUAAAGCGUUGGUAGGCGGUACGGAAAGAAAGAUGGGAAAUCCCAGGGCUCACCCUUGGAACUGCAUUUUUAACUGCCGAGCUAGAGUAUGUCAGAGGGGGGUAGAAUUCCACGUGUAGCAGUGAAAUGCGUAGAUAUGUGGAGGAAUACCGAUGGCGAAGGCAGCCCCCUGGGAUAAUACUGACGCUCAGACACGAAAGCGUGGGGAGCAAAC
rnacentral:rRNA from 1 species